GAUGGUGGGGGCGGUGGGUUAACAAAAACUCUGGUGGGAAACCUGCUGGGAACGACUCAAACGUCCAACGAGAAAGGGGCAGUGAGGUGAUCUGGGGUGUGUCCCCAGAGCAGAGCGCGCCGCAGCCUGCGGAGAAGCGAGCAAGUCUCUGCGAGCAGAUGGGACAGGAGACCCGGGCCACACCGCCGACGGGGGACGCGGAGGCGAAGCCCCGCAUGACCCGGGAGUCGGACGUGCGCAAAGGGACAGGUGAGCCGACCAAGGACACGUCUCAAAGGCCCUUGCCUGGGAAGCUGGCGCUGCCUGGAGAGGACGGGCAACCAGGGUGGUGGCGGCAGGCGCGUGACUGCAGGACUUGUGCCUAUGUAUCCGGCGGCCCCGUGCAGGGCAGGCCUGGGCGUCCGGACACGUGGGCUCAGAGUGAUCUGCACGGGGCUGUUGAAGUUUUUACUUCGACACGCACAGAAAGAGAAGAAAUACUUUCCUGAUGACAUGCAGCUAAGUCUGUGAGUGUGUUGGAUGACAUAGUCGGGGAGGAACACUGGAUCGUGUCUAGCAAGAUGGAAUUUCACAAGCAAAAUGAACUUGGCUUCGGGAAAGCCAGAUGCAUAGGUACAGAGAAGAUGUGUCUGAAUGAUGGCAGGUGUGACAGAGGCCAGGGAUUUGGGAGGGUGGUGUAACAAAUUCAAGGGGGGAGCGAACCUGCCCUGGGCUGCGUUCCCCAGCCUGGAGAAGUUGGAAUGAAGAUGCAGAACAAUGCCUGGAAUGCUGCCUUCAUCCCUGGGCGGCAGCCUUUCUCAGAACUGGUCGGCAGAAGUAAUUUUCAGGCAGUCGCAUUCUAGUCACAGAAAGAACUUUCUAAGCACGAGCUGUCCAAGGAUAAACAGGCCUCCUUGGAUUGGAGUGAGUUCCCUAAAGCUGGAAGUGUGCAGGCAGCCCGUGCCGGGGCAGGGAGGGCCACGUGUCCAGGGGACAGGCCUGUCCUCAUCACCUCCACUCCUGUGCUGGCACCCCACUGCCCUCAGACAUGGUCUGUAAUGUUUGUCCAGUUAGUGAAUUGAGGAAAUUACAAAUCUGGAGAACUAUCUGAUGGCCCAUCAUGUUCCUUCCAGGCCUGGAUAUUAGGGUCCAGAAAAUCCCCACUACAGAGUGUGUGUUGGUUUCUUAUAGCUGCUGUAACAAAUUCUACAAGCUAGUGAGUUAAAACAAACACAUGUUUAUUCGAUUAAAGUUUGAUAAGUCAGAA